AGAAUUUAAAAAAGAAUAAUUGAUAUUUCCCUAAGUUAAUUUAAUAUAAUUAUUUAGUCGAUAAUAUAAAAAUGAUUAAAUUCGUUAAAUUUGUUCCUAAUGAAAUGUUUCAUUCAUUCAAAAAAAUUUUAAAAGGAAAGAUAGUUGGUCCAAACAAAAAACGCUUGAUAAUGCUACAGAGAGUGAUGCUGGAAGGUGAGAGUAGCGAAAAUAGAGUUGUUACAUUGAACAUGAAGCUGCCAAUUUGAAAAUACAGAUUACAGAGCUUACAAAAGGAAUUGAAGAACGAUCGCUACAUGCAGAUUGAUUAAUGGUACAAACAAGUUAUCGUCUCAAUAUGGAAAUGGUGUCAUCAAGAUACAGAAGAAAGAAUUUGUGUAUGGAUAAAAUCAACCACUCAAGUAAAUCGUUUGGAAUGCAUGGAAACAUAGACUAUAAAUUAGUUGUGAGGUGUAUUAAUUUUAGUAUAUUGUUACGCAUCACUUUUAAAUUGUACUUUGAAUCCGUUUCUACAUUUACUUCUAUCCACAUUCUUGAGAUGAUAACUGGGUUAUCAAAACGCGCUUCAGGCAUGUAAUUAUGAAUGUUAGUGUAGUGAUACCAUAAACAGUAUGUUCCAUAGAAAUAUCAGAAAUUAUCACUUAGUAUAAAUCUUUUGGCUAACUCUUCUCCUAUCUCAUGGUUCCGUAUUCUGUCCAUUCUUUCAUUCUUCUUGCAACCUUAUUCUUUUUUUUUAUUUGUAGCUAUAUAUGAAGAGUUAUCUGGAGAAGAAGGAUCAAAGAGCAUUUAGUAAAAUGGAAGGGGUUUGGGUAUUUUAGGGAAAAAUAUUUUCAACCCUAUUUCAAUACCAAAACAGAGAUAGGAGUAGAGUGAUUGCAUAGGGGUAGAAUGUCCUUAGAAAAAAAUGCUCCUUUUAAAGCCAAUACUUUCUCCAUAAAUUAUCAAAUCUUAAGAGCUAUUUUUUUAAGUUGGUCUAAGUGACUACAAAUAUUGUACUUUGAUCCACUGUCCCCAUAAUUCUUUAAUAUAAAAUAUGACUAUUUUUCCUUUGACUAUCUUUGUUUUUUGUGUCCCUCUCUUAUAUUCAAUUCUUAAAUUAUUUUCUGCUUUCUUCUAGUAUCAUUUAAAUUGGAAAUAAAGAGAUUUUUUAAUUCAAUGCCUGUUGGGCAUAUAUAGUAAUAAGUGUAAACAAUAUUAGAAGUUAUUUUAUUAAUUUUACUAUAUUAUGUAUUAACCAUUAUCCAAAUAGUAGUGAAAAUAUGUGAUUAUUUUAAUUUUGGAUAAUUAAACAAAUUUUUAAUUAUAGCCUUGUGUAAUAUUUUGAAAAUGUAAUGUUGAUAACUCUAUUAUUCAAUAUUAAGAUUUGAAUAAAUCUCGUUGAAUAUAA